GCAAAUGAAGGAAGCAUGUUAUUUUAUUUUAUUUAUAGAAAAAUAAAAUACAUUAUUAAGGAACAACAUUACUCAUACAGAUUAGGAAGGAGAAAAUCACAAAAAGAAAAUAAUCAGCUGCGAUUAUAUUGCUCGUAAUUAUCAUCGACACAUUAAUAGAGUACUCGGCUUGUUCGUGUGAAUAAUUUUCAAUUGCUAUUGCCCCCAUUGCUAUAUCGCCAUGACACGCGGACUUCGCGGCCGCAUCAUCAUUGAUUGGGAACAUCUCUUCCAGAAUGACGUAAUUGGUCAGUUCCAUUGGAGCUUCUAUAAUAUGUAUUCCGCCAACUAUCUUACUAUUACAAUGCGAUAACCAUGACGAUAUACUACUAAGUGCUGGGGGUCUAAUUAUUUUCCUUGAUGGUGUUAUGUUGCUGAAUCUGCAAAACUCGGACAAUAUAAAAUGGAAAAGAACGAAAGCGUAUCACUGUGAAAUAUAAAAUAGUACAGGAAGUACAGUUGUAAAUUAG